AUGGGUUUGCUGGAUCUUUACACACGGU
rnacentral:piRNA from 1 species